AAAACGGAGAGUUGAGAUCGAAGGAUAACGAUAGUGGAGAGAUUACAUCAGAGAUCAUAUUGGAAACUUUUAUUUUGGGAAGAUAGAAUCAGCAGUGAAAUUCUGCUUGGUCGAAAAACAGCUGAUCGGCGUUAAUGGACCAGCAACUAGAGAUGGGAAAACAUCGAUUAAGAAAACAACGCUCCCUGCUGGACAAAAACUGAAGUAGUGGCGCCAUCUGGGGGACUAGUUUUAAAAAUAUACCAAAGUUUCCCCCCAAAUUUAUUGUUUCCUCAAAAAAUAACGUUUUUUCCAAAUUUGAAUUAAAAACACUGCCCUCUUUGCUAGCUGAUUUAUUUAUUGAACCGAAAUCGUACAGUGCAAGUAAGUGUUACAACAAAAGUCUGUUCAUACAACAAUUACAAUUUAUGUUUUCGCCUUGACACCAGUUAUUAACUAAUUUUUGCCAUUAUAUAGUUGCGCAUAUAUUCAUAAGAUUAUAAUUAUUUGAAAUAAAACAGAAGCUCAAUCUAAGC